rfam:Ipomoea nil DNA, scaffold: scaffold2480, cultivar: Tokyo-kokei standard.
GCUUCUAUAGCAUAGUGGUAGUGUGUUUGCUUCGUAAGCAAAAGGUCACGAGUUCAAUCCUCGUUGGAAGCU